UCCCAGACUCCUACGGGAGGCAGCAGUGAGGAAUAUUGGUCAAUGGGCGGAAGCCUGAACCAGCCAAGUCGCGUGAGGGAAUAAGGCCCUACGGGUCGUAAACCUCUUUUGCCGGGGAGCAAGGGCGGGGACGUGUCCCGGCCCGGAGAGUACCCGGAGAAAAAGCAUCGGCUAACUCCGUGCCAGCAGCCGCGGUAAUACGGAGGAUGCGAGCGUUAUCCGGAUUUAUUGGGUUUAAAGGGUGCGUAGGCGGGCGUUUAAGUCAGCUGUAAAAAUUCGGGGCUCAACCCCGUCCGGCCGUUGAAACUGGGGGCCUUGAGUGCGCGAGAAGUAUGCGGAAUGCGUGGUGUAGCGGUGAAAUGCAUAGAUAUCCCGCAGAACUCCGAUUGCGAAGGGAGC
rnacentral:rRNA from 1 species